rnacentral:rRNA from 1 species
AGCAAUACGUCAGCGGCAGACGGGUGAGUAACGCGUGGGAACGUACCUUUUGGUUCGGAACAACACAGGGAAACUUGUGCUAAUACCGGAUAAGCCCUUACGGGGAAAGAUUUAUCGCCGAAAGAUCGGCCCGCGUCUGAUUAGCUAGUUGGUGAGGUAACGGCUCACCAAGGCGACGAUCAGUAGCUGGUCUGAGAGGAUGAUCAGCCACAUUGGGACUGAGACACGGCCCAAACUCCUACGGGAGGCAGCAGUGGGGAAUAUUGGACAAUGGGCGCAAGCCUGAUCCAGCCAUGCCGCGUGAGUGAUGAAGGCCCUAGGGUUGUAAAGCUCUUUUGUGCGGGAAGAUAAUGACGGUACCGCAAGAAUAAGCCCCGGCUAACUUCGUGCCAGCAGCCGCGGUAAUACGAAGGGGGCUAGCGUUGCUCGGAAUCACUGGGCGUAAAGGGUGCGUAGGCGGGUCUUUAAGUCAGGGGUGAAAUCCUGGAGCUCAACUCCAGAACUGCCUUUGAUACUGAAGAUCUUGAGUUCGGGAGAGGUGAGUGGAACUGCGAGUGUAGAGGUGAAAUUCGUAGAUAUUCGCAAGAACACCAGUGGCGAAGGCGGCUCACUGGCCCGAUAC